CGGGGUGUAGCUCAGUCUGUGAAGAGCGCACGCUUUGGGCGCGUGAGGCCAAAGGUUCAAAUCCUUUUACCCCGA
rnacentral:tRNA from 2 species